GCAAGAACUCGCCCUCCCAUACCUUUCUGGAGUUAGCCCUUUAAAUUUGGCAGAGCCAAACUACUUCUGCCUAAGGUGGCCAUUUUGUAACUGACUGUUGUUGCUAGCUGCAGGUUCCACUCUUCUAGCUUAAGCAUCUAACAAUUUUUCUGCUACUACACUUAAAACUACUGUAUUCUAUUUCUUUCUGCCAGUCUGAAGAUCAACUUUCUGGUACCACCACAAAAGACAGAGCAGGAGGCAGGAAAUCUCCUGAUCAGCUAUUGGCUAUCAAAUACUAUCAGUACGAGCUCAGUUUGAUAGAAAUUGACUCACUUUAGUGUGCCAGCCAGCAGUGGUGUCCUGGAAACACAACAGCGUCUCUUUAAGAAUCCUGGUGACAUCAUUUACCCUCAACUCCCAUGUUGCAAAGCAUGAGUGAAUGGUGAACAGCAACAGCAAAAGAAGCUGGAAGAAAUAUCUGACCUCAAUGAGAAAAGGCCAGUGAAAUAACCUUUGAACCUAGAACAUAGGCUACAGCAAAGCAUCAACUUUAUGGAUAGCAAAGCCUGUGUGUGUGAUCUACCAUGUUUGCAAGCCAGAUCUAGAGACCAAAGACCAUUUUAAUUGUGAUGAAUAUUUGUCUUAUGGAGGGACAAAGUUCAUUGUCACUCUUCCCUAUUUUAUCUUAUGAUCCUUGUCCUCACAUAAAAGCCUUUCUGUGUCUCUCAUCAAUUUGAUCACAUACUGUAACCUGGGGUACCUAUUCCUGCUCUAGUUUUGUUUUCUGACGGUCUGACUCCAGUUUAGCACAGUGUUUCAUGUGAGCCAUACCAUCCAUGUAUAAUAUUUGUGCUAUUUUCCAUCCACUCUUUCUACAUCCUAACUGGAGCUGUGUGAAUAAUUGACUUGUCAGUUUGCUGGCAGUUUAAAAAAAAAAAAAAAAAAAAUCAGUUCAGCCUGAACUGAAAUUGUUUUGAAUUUUCAGCUAAUUGUGAAGGUUGAGGAAAUUUGUUUUGUGCCAAAUGGUUCCCCUUGACCCAAAAUGAAACCUUUUGUCUGGGGUAUUUGUAACCUUUUUUUUAACAAAAUCCAAGGAAAUGAAGGCCUAGAUUCACAACAAUGAUGAUGGUCAGGGUUCCCCGACCCUCCCGCUAGUAGGCCAGUGGUUAGGGAGCUCCCUAAGGAUGCUGGACAUCUAGGUUCAAAUCUUUCUGGAGCAGGGACUUGAAUGUAGGUGUCUCCCCACCUUGGUGAAUGUCCUAACCACUGAGAUAUUGGGUAUUCUGGGUCUCUUUCUCUCUCUCUCUCUCUCUCUCUCUCUCUCUCUCGCUCUCUCUCUUUCCUGUUGAAGCCUCUCUGCUUUGUAUAAAAUAUUCGAAUAGUCACUGUGGGGGGAGAGCAUGACUCUGUAGCCCAGUGGUUAGGGCCUGCACCUUGAACACCUUGGUCCACUAUACUAUUAGGUAUAAGGCACCUGUCUGGUUUUGUAAAUGGAGCCUAAACACUCUUGUGAAUCUAGCCCUCAAAUUGAAACAUUUCAUUCAACUUUCUGAAUGGUUUUGUUUGUGUUUUUUUUUUCAUUUUGACCGAAAUAAUUGACCGGAAUCUGCAUUUUUUUUUUUCCCCUGUAAAAAAUGCUUUGCCCAGCUCUAACGCUAACAUUUUGUUUGCUUAAAGUGUAUGUCUUUGGCAUUGGACAGAGGUUCUCAUUGGGCUGGCCACAAUGAUGUGCGCAGACCCCUUCUCGGGGCAGUUAUAGUUAUUUAGAACCUUUGAGUUUAUUCCACCCAAUGUACAUUUCCCUUUUAUGUGUGAACACUGAAUUUUGUGGAUCAUAAUCUUCCCCUCAUAGCUGCUGCAAGAAGCAUGUCUUUAUAUGUUUUUAUAGCACCUAGUAUUGGGUUCCUGAUCCUGAGUGAGACCUUUCGCCACUACCACAUUACAAAUCAAUAAUAAUAAUUAAUAAUCAUAUUCUGCUUAUAAAAUCAUACUCAAUAUCUUAGCCAGAAAGUAUAGGCUGUACAUUUCUAAUCUCUCUCUAAUACCUCACCUUGUUUAAUGAAUUGGACCUUAAGUGCCCAAUUCAUAUUCAACGCACGAACUGCAGUGAUGAGGCUCAGGAAAGGAGUAUGCAUUACUGCACUUAAGAACUUUUCCCCCUCUCCAUGUUUGCUGCUAUGCUAAUUAUUUCAAUGCCUUUCUAGCCGAGCUCUUUUAAUGUGACUUAUUUUUUUUAUACGUGGAAAAGCAGAGUCCCUCUAGUAUGGAGCUACAGUUGCUAUUGUCAGAGAUCUUGUGACCUUGAGUCUAUUAUCAUCAAAAUAAUUAGCAUGCAGCUUGCUCGGUAUCGUUUCACAAAUACAGCUGAUUUUGCUGUGAUGAAAAUCAAACCUAGAAGCAGAUUUCCAAAGCCAUUAGGUUUAAGGUGGCAACAGGGGAAAGGCUCUUAAAGAGAAUAUUCUUGCUUUUGCCAAGCCUGUGCUCAGAGAGGAUGACUCUGAGACCCAAUGGAAAUGCUCUGUCAACAGCGAAAGAUUAAUGAGAAGGCAAAGUCUGCAGGUAUACCAGGAGUCAAAGCUCUGUCAGUGUUCCAAAGCAGUAGUUUGAUUAGCCUCUCAGAUUCUGGGCACUUGUGCUACCUGCUAAGAUUUCAUACAACCCUCCAGUGAAGCUAGCAAGUCCUCCAGUUAAAUAAAGGCAUUUGUGGUACCCAUACAUUAAUGUUUCCAACUGAUUUACAUGUUCCUAAAAUAAUUUCUAUUGCAAACCUUGUUUGUUGCCAGGCUAUAUGUACGAGAGGUGAUAAAGUGAAGGAAAUAGACUAUGACUUCAGCCUAAUGAGCAAGUAGGUAUAAAGGAAUUCAAUGUCUCUCUAAUGGGAUGGGUCUAAAGUGCAGCAUGAUAUAUAAAAGUGAGAGCAAAAAGUCUGUUAGUGGAAAACUAAUAGCCAUGCGUACCCCAUUCCUUUACCAGCUGUGCAACUCCACAGCUGACUGAGUGGAGGACUGGGUAGCCUGAGUUCCAUUCCUCCCUCUACUAAAGGUGAGUAAUCUGUUUGAGCUGAGGUGCUAAGCUCCUCUGACAAUCGGGCUGUGGACUGCUCUGUGUGUCAUUUAUUCCAGCUAAAAUAAUAGGGAUAGCAAAGUUUACACUUAUGAGGAAGAACGGUCCAGUGGAUAGGGCACUAGUGUGGGGCAUGGGAGACCUCAGUUCAUUUCACUUUGUGACAAUGGGUAAGUGACUUAGUCCCUCUAUGCCUCCAUUACCCCUCCAUAAAAUAAGGAUAAUAGCUAUGCCCUAUUUGCUUGGGUGUUGUUUUUCUCACAUGUUAAAAAUUGUGAGUAUGCUCAAAUACUACAAGUAGCUGAGAUAACUAGACAUAUGUGAUGCAUGAUGAUAAAAAAAAACUGAAUUGGUAACGGGGGCUAUAUAUAAGUACCUAAGAUCAGUUUUGUUAAAGAAUGUGGAGAUAUCCAUAUGGAAAGCUUUGUGUAGCACUUCGCUCUGCUGGUAAUCCUGGUGAAAAUCAAUGAGCUUAUUUGUAG